CAGCAGCCGCGGGAAUACGAAGGGGGCUAGCGUUGCUCGGAAUUACUGGGCGUAAAGGGCGCGUAGGCGGACAGUUCAGUCGGGGGUGAAAGCCCGGGGCUCAACCUCGGAAUUGCCUUCGAUACUGGCUGUCUUGAGUAUGAGAGAGGUGUGUGGAACUCCGAGUGUAGAGGUGAAAUUCGUAGAUAUUCGGAAGAACACCAGUGGCGAAGGCGACACACUGGCUCAUUACUGACGCUGAGGCGCGAAAGCGUGGGGAGCAACCAGGGUUAGAUACCCGCGUAGUCCCUGUCUCUUAUAC
rnacentral:rRNA from 1 species